CCUACGGGAGGCAGCAGUGAGGAAUAUUGGUCAAUGGACGAGAGUCUGAACCAGCCAAGUAGCGUGAAGGAUGACUGCCCUAUGGGUUGUAAACUUCUUUUAUAUGGGAAUAAAAUGUUCCACGUGUGGGAUUUUGUAUGUACCAUAUGAAUAAGGAUCGGCUAAAUCCGUGCCAGCAGCCGCGGUAAUACGGAGGAUCCGAGCGUUUUCCGGAUUUAUUGGGGUUAAAGGGAGCGUAGGUGGGUUGUUAAGUCAGUUGGGAAAGUUUGCGGCUCAACCGUAAAAUUGCAGUUGAAACUGGCAGUCUUGAGUACAGUAGAGGUGGGCGGAAUUCGUGGUGUAGCGGUGAAAUGCUUAGAUAUCACGAAGAACUCCGAGUGCGAAGGCAGUUCACUGGACUGCAACUGACACUGAGGCUCGAAAGUGUGGGUAUCAAACAGGAUUAGAUACCCUUGUAGUC
rnacentral:rRNA from 1 species